GUAUAUAUACAGGGAGAUGGAGAGAGUCCGUUACUAUACUAUUGAUAGCUCCAAGUUUUUGAUAUUAUCGAAUUUUCUGUCAUUAAAUCUAUCUUUUAAUUAAUUAUUCUACUCGUUAAAUUAUAUUAUUCAAUCAACCACCCACUCAACCUUAAAAAACUAUUAUCAUCCUAACCGUACAUUGUUUCAUUCAACUGUCGAAAACUCGAUAGUACUAAGUGUUUAGUACUAUUGGUAGUAUAGUAACUUAAUUAUAUAUAUAUAGAUAUAAAAUUGAGAUAGAAUACUAUUAAUAAUAUUUGGACUUUUUUACUAUCAAAUUUUUAAUCCAAUAGAUGAAAAAUUAUAAAGUUAGAAUGAUAACGAUUUUUCUCGGAUUGAAUGGAUGGUUGGUUGAAUAGUAUGAUCUAAAGAAUAAAAUUAAUUAAAAUAUAGAUCUAACGGCUAAAAUAUUAAUUAAAAAAAAUCUAAAUACUAUUAAUAAUAUUUCAGCUCAACUCUUUUUCUCUUUCUAUAUAUAUAUAUAUAUAUAUAUAUA
rnacentral:lncRNA from 1 species